UAUUCCCAACAUCUACCCAACCUACACCCAUGCCUAUUACCCUCACUCAGGCCCCGCUCACGCCAGGCCGCCCCAUGUGCGCCACCCCACAUCAACGCGCCCUCUCAUGCUCCAGCCGCUGCUGCGCUGCUCCUCCACCGCCAGGCCCAGCCAGCCGCGCCACACCUCCAGCCAGCCGCUGCUUCCGGCUCCCAUCGGCUCCACACCACAUGGCUGCUGAAGGCUGCUGAAGGCUGGUCCUAGCUCCUCCUCCUCCUCCUGAGCAGCAGCAGCCAGCGCCCACACGCUCGCUCCCACGCCACCAGUGCUUCAUUACACCAGCAGCACGGCGUUGAUGCAGCCGUCGUUCUCGGGGUUGUUGGUCACCUGCGCGUACUUGCCCCACACCACCUUGCCGCCGGGCGUCACCAGUCCCAGCUCGCUGACGUUCACCUCCAGGAUCGUGCCCUUUGUCACCACGCCCAGCUGCGAGUACAUUUGCCCGUUGGGGUUCUUCUUCACGCCAAUGAUGUCCAGGCAGAAGGUUGCCUUGAGCUCGGGAUGAGUCACGUGCGCCUUGGUCAUGCGCAGACCGGUGGGCCGGAUGAAGCGCUCGUACUUCGGCGGCUUGCGCGUGAAGCCCUGGCCCACGAAGGUCACCUUUGUGAUCAUGCGCUUCCAGCUCUUCUUCAUGCGCUUGCCGCUCUUCAUCACCUUGAACAUCUCGUCCUCGGCGAUGGGCCGCACCUGUGAGGUUUUGGGAAAUAGGGGCGAGGGGAGAAGGGUUUGAGGGGGAAGGGUGGCGUUGGAGAACAUGGCGUGGGGCGUGGCGAGACGGUGUUAACGGGGUGGGGGGGGAGGGGGCAUGGUGGUGGUCGGGCACCUGGCGAGCGCCCCUGCCCUCCGCGCUUCAUGCGCCUGCUUCCACUGCUGGUGCGGCUAGUAACCUAUAUUAUGGUGGGGCUGCUUGGAGGCAAGCGGCUCGUAUGCUGCCCAAAGCGCCACGUAAGUCAGCCGAUUGCCAAAACCCUACCCCGAGCCCACAUGCCCCGCAACCGUCUUCUCACCUGCGGCAGAGGCACCUCCCACUUGCCCGCCUUCUCCUUCCGCUUCUGCUUGAUGGUGUUGCUCAGGACCUUGGCGCGGUCCACCUGC
rnacentral:lncRNA from 1 species